AGGGUGUAAACGCUGCAGACUUGGUGUUGGAGGCCCUUUGGGGGCAUUCAGUGCCGGAGAGAAGUUGUUAAGUCUGCUACUUGGGGAGUACGCCCGCAAGGAUGAAACUUAAAGGAAUUGGCGGGGGGAGCACCGCAACGGGAGGAGCGUGCGGUUUAAUUGGAUUCAACACCGUAAAACUCACCAGGGAAGACUGUUACAUGAAGGCCGAGAUGAAGACUCUGCUAGAUUUUCAGAGAGGAGGUGCAUGGCGUCAGUGACU
rnacentral:rRNA from 1 species